ensembl:lncRNA
CGGCAUGCUAUUAAUUAGCAUAGACAACUAUUUUGACCGGAUAAAUGUUGUUAACCCAGCAGAACUUGCUCAGUUUACAUGCAUUUUUCUCUAAACUUUAGACUAAAGCAAUAAUUCAGCUUUUGGAAAUGACAUGUAAACACCUUUAGUCACCUUUGUAGAGUUAACCCUACAAUUGCUGUUGGCGUUGUUUUAUGCAAUAAAAAAAAUGGCUGCUGUUGAUGUUGGCAAUGGAAACGCAUGUCUAAACCUGCGCCCUCGUCUCAGACUGCGGCUGCUGUGUUAUGUAAGCACAUCGUCUCUCUCUUCUCUCUCCUCUACCUUUUUUUUCCCCCAGUGUUCUCGACGAGACAACAAUCUAGCAACACUGUGAAUAUUUCAAGACUGUGGCAUCAACGGCAGUGUAGCAGACUGUGGGGAGGGAUGAGGACAGUCAUAAAUGAGUCGCUGUCCCGCUGCAUCAUGCAGGAAAUCUCGCUCAAGGUGAUUCCAUGAUACUGCAGGUUCCUGCUCUCCAGAAGGAUUGACAUGAUUUAUGAAAUGCUCCAGUUUGAGGAAAAGGACGAAGAGGACAGGAAGGAGGGAGAUUAUAAUGACAUCACAUGGGCAGGGCUAGAACGCCACGUUCUAGAAAAGGUGAUAACAUUUAUUUGCUUUUCGAUCUAUUACCAAGUACUUUCAUGACUAAUAUUGAUAUCAGUACUGAUAUUUUUGUUAAUCAGAAAGACUUUGCGAUUAAUAAGGAAAACCCCUUUAUUAACAUGUAAGUGAUUGAUAAAUUUCACAGAUUAAAGUUAUACAAAUCUGGAAUAACAUGAGGGGGAAUAAUUGAUGACAGAAUUUUCAUUUUUUUUUUUUUUUUUAAGCCUAAUUUGCAAAUGAUCAGACUUUUGAAUUGUUUUUUAUUCAAUAACCUCUACAACUUUAGUUAUGCCAAAUAUUUCAAUAUUUCAAAUGUCAAAUCUGGAUGAAUUUGAAGAGAAAACAUUGAAACGUCAAACUUUCUGAUAUGUACGGGAACAUUUUUAUUGUAAAAAAAAAAAUAAAAAAUUACAAAGGUAAUUGUGACUUUUUAUU